AUGGGUACCCACCCGGUGGCCAGGGGGGAUACCCUCCGGCAGGGUACCCGCCGCAGCAGGGAGGUUACCCUCCACAGCAAGGAGGUUACCCUCCACAGCAAGGAUACCCGCCUGCACCUGGAGCUUACCCACCUGCACCUGGGGCAUACCCUCCUGCACCUGGGGCGUACCCUCCUGCACCUGGAGCGGGAGGCCCUGACGGGGAGAAGGGGCUCCUCUCCAACAUCAUGCAUGGUGUUGCCGGUGCUCAUGGUGGUGGUCAUGGCUACCCAU
rnacentral:lncRNA from 1 species